GACGUAGGGCGCGAGCGUUGUCCGGAUUUAUUGGGCGUAAAGCGCGUGUAGGCGGUUCAGUAAGUCUGCUGUGAAAGUCCAGGGCUCAACCCUGGGAUGCCGGUGGAUACUGCUGGGCUAGAGUACGGAAGAGGCGAGUGGAAUUCCCGGUGUAGCGGUGAAAUGCGCAGAUAUCGGGAGGAACACCUAUUGCGAAGGCAGCUCGCUGGGACGUUACUGACGCUGAGACGCGAAAGCGUGGGGAGCAAACAGG
rnacentral:rRNA from 1 species